rnacentral:misc_RNA from 1 species
UGGCGAUCUGUUCAUGUUGAUGCUUUGAUGCGCUUAAGGAAACAGUUUUAUUUGUGUUGUUUCUAAUUAUCAGAUUGUGCCGGGGAAGGUUUUUCCGGUUUAGUCCGGAGGGCUUGUAGCUCAGUUGGUUAGAGCGCGCGCUUGAUAAGCGUGAGGUCGGAGGUUCAAGUCCUCCCAGGCCCACCAUUUAUAAUUCCUAGUUUUAUUUAGCGUUUGAUUGAUAAUUGCUUAUAGGGAUAUUAAGCUUAUGAGUAAGUUUAUGAGAAAGUGUUUCAGCUUUUAAUGAACAGGGUUAGAGAGUUCUGAGGGUUUAGGACUGUUUAUUAAAGUUCAGAUAAUGAAGAGAGUUUUGUCUUUUUUUAAUCUUGAAUUAGGGGCCGUAGCUCAGCUGGGAGAGCACCUGCUUUGCAAGCAGGGG